UACGGGGGGGGCAAGCGUUGUUCGGAAUUACUGGGCGUAAAGGGCUCGUAGGUGGCCAACUAAGUCGGACGUGAAAUCCCUCGGCUCAACCGGGGAACUGCGUCCGAUACUGGUGGGCUUGAGUGCAGGAGAGGAACGCGGAAUUCCAGGUGUAGCGGUGAAAUGCGUAGAUAUCUGGAGGAACACCGGUGGCGAAGGCGGCGUUCUGGACUGCAACUGACACUGAGGAACGAAAGCCAGGGGAGCAAACGGG
rnacentral:rRNA from 1 species